AUUGAACGCUGGCGGCAUGCCUUACACAUGCAAGUCGAACGGUAACAGGUCUUCGGACGCUGCCGAGUGGCGAACGGGUGAGUAAUACAUCGGAACGUGCCCGAUCGUGGGGGAUAACGAGGCGAAAGCUUUGCUAAUACCGCAUACGAUCUACGGAUGAAAGCGGGGGAUCUUCGGACCUCGCGCGGACGGAGCGGCCGAUGGCAGAUUAGGUAGUUGGUGGGAUAAAAGCUUACCAAGCCGACGAUCUGUAGCUGGUCUGAGAGGAUGAUCAGCCACACUGGGACUGAGACACGGCCCAGACUCCUACGGGAGGCAGCAGUGGGGAAUUUUGGACAAAGGGCGAAAGCCUGAUCCAGCCAUGCCGCGUGCAGGAUGAAGGCCUUCGGGUUGUAAACUGCUUUUGUACGGAACGAAAAGCCUCUUUCUAAUAAAGAGGGGUCAUGACGGUACCGUAAGAAUAAGCACCGGCUAACUACGUG
rnacentral:rRNA from 1 species